CACGUAGGGUGCAAGCGUUGUCCAGAUUCAUUGGGCGUAAAGGGCUAGUAGGCGGCUUAGCAAGUCGGGUGUGAAAACUUCAGGCUCAACCUGGAGCGGCCAUCCGAUACUGCUAUGGCUAGAGUCCGGUAGGGGACCACGGAAUUCCUGGUGUAGCGGUGAAAUGCGCAGAUAUCAGGAGGAACACCGGUGGCGAAGGCGGUGGUCUGGGCCGGAACUGACGCUGAAUAGCGAAAGCGUGGGUAGCGAACAGG
rnacentral:rRNA from 1 species